GGAACCCGGUUUAGAGGGUCUGGGGUUCAGAGCUCCACAGUGCUGCUUACCAGCUCUUAGCCUUCAUUACAUUGCUUACCUUCCUGGAGGUUGUUUCCUUAUCCAUAAAAUGGGGGUCAGGUUGCCAAAUUUAUCAAAUAAGAAUCUAGGAUGUCCAGUUAAAGCUGAAUUUCAGAUAAUUAUUUUUUAGUAUAAAUAUGUCCCAUAAAAUAUUUAUGCCCCAUGCAGUGACUAUGUCCCUAAUGGUACAUGGGACAUAUACUAAAACAUUAUUUGUUGUUUAUCUGAAAUUCAAAUUUAACUGUGCGUCCUAUAUUUUUUCUGGCAACCCUAAAUGGGAGCAGGGGCAGUGGGUGACAUGAGUAAUUAUCUUGUAGGGGUGGUGUGAGGAUAAAAUAAUAUCACAGUUAGGUUUUCUCACAGUGUGUAGUCUGUGUGUAGUCAACACAUAACUAUAAGUGGUGACUGUAACAUAACUGUAACUGGUGUAUAGUCAAAAACAAAUGAUAUUAUUAGUAUAAUAGUUAUUAAUAAAGGUCUUUAAAUGACAACUGGUCAUACAGGGAGCCUUUGGGGAAAAGUUUCUGACUGUAAACUAAGGGAAGGUAAAUUAUGAUCAAGAUCUGGGAAUAAGAUUUAGACUUACACAGUAAUAAUUUGAGGAAGAGAAAGACUUAGUAAAUUAGUUAUGUAAUUACAUAAUUAACAACUUGGGAGGUUUUCUUUCAACGUUUAUUCCCUAGGGCAUCAUCUUUAAAUUAUGUUUAGUUUUUGCUAAGUUGACCAGUUUGUGGUUUUAGGUGUUUACUUUCUUUUCUUUUUAAAUGUAGGGAAAGCAUAUUUAACUUCAUCUUAGAGAAAUGAUGUAGCCUUAUAAAACCGGAGGGUAGGAGCUACUGGCAAGGAAAAAAAGGGCCUUUACUGCCACCUGUUGGCCAUAUCCUUUAACUGCAAUGUGCCUAAGUGCAGCUGGAAAGGAAAGCGUUGGAAAAUCUGUUAAAUCCAGAGAGCGCCAAGGCAGUGUCAUGAGAGUAAGAGCCGUGAACUACUGUGUGCUCUCCCUCAGUUCCCAAUCUCUCACAGCUUGAGGCGUGAGAAUUAGCAGCUGGCUACGAGAGGUGGAGGACAGAAAAUGGUGAAGUCCAUCCCUUCUUCCUUGGUACCGUUUCCAAACCUUAAGUGAAGGAGCCUGAGAGGGGAGAAGCUUCAGUAUGAAAGUUUUCAAGACGCCUACAAGUGGAAAAUGCACUCCUCCCAGCCAAAUCAAGCUUUGCCAGAUUCCUUACAGCUGUGUGCAGUGAAAUGACUAAUGAGAGAGCCCUCUGCUGCUGGUGGAACUUUCACAUAUGGCACUGUUGUGCCACUCAGCAGGACCUGACCCUGGUAUUUACAUACUGGAUGUCACCCCAAAAGCCCCUGACACGGGGGUUUCCGGGAUGUAAUAAGAAUGCCACUCUGGGCUUUGGAAGGUGCACUGUAUGCACACCCAUACUAUAGGGCAGGGAUUAGCAUUUCAGACCCCCGUUCCUCCCUCGACAAGCAAGUGCUUUUCUCCAGGGAGGACGUUCAGAUUCAUUCAUAGAUCCAUUGGUGCCGUGGGCAGCUCAGUAACAGUGGCUCUGCUGCCUACCAGCUGCUGGUGGAGGUGCUGAGAAUACCUAGAUGAGGAAGUCAGGGCCCCUGCGUGCUUGAGCAGAGCUGGAUGCCUGGCAUGGCAAUGGACACAAACCCUUGGAUCAUUUCCAUCCUUGGCAGUGUGUUCUGUAGCAUAGGUGUGAAGUGGGUGCUCUGCGAGCUCAGAAGAGGGGCUCUUAACUUAUGGGUGGCCAGGGAAGGCUUCCUGGAGCUCAAAUGACUGAGUGGAGUCUUCAACAUUACAAAAUAAAAAGUGCUUCUCCCCACCCCGUUAAAAAGGUAAUACACCUAAUUGAAAUGAUUGAACUUUACAGAAAUGUGUUCCUUUAAAGUUCGGAGAGUAAAGAGGAAGUAAUAAAGCUCAAAUCAUAGGAUGUCUAAUUA